ensembl:lncRNA
GUACAUGACUGCCCCUCGCGAGGAAAAACUUCUGCAGUGUUUGUGUGUUUUCUGAACUCAGACGUCUCAACUGAAGAACGGCAGGGUGAUUUAAAGAAAUCCCCUGUCAUUUAAAUUGGUCCUUCGAGCCUAGAGACGGAAACAGCAGACUCAUUUCUGUGACUCCAGUAAGGUCUGAUAGCUGCAUCCUGACGUCGUGGGGAAGCCAGAACCGAAGUCUGUCGACAGCCCUCUCCAGGUAGAGGUGAAAGCCCUGGGCGUAAAUUCGUAUCCAGGCCGGGUCUGGUCCACGGCGUUGGGGUGCAUCCAGAUGACCUGAACAACCAGCAAAAGACGACUGAGGGUGAGAAAACACUUUUUUGGUUUUAAACCGCCGGAAGGGUUUAGAAGAAUGCGCAAAAUAGGUUUGCUGUAGCCGGAAUUACUUCGGGAUACGUGUAAAAUAGGUUAGAAGUAGCCGGAAUUACUUCGGAAAAACACGUGAAAUAGGUUGAGUUCGCCGGAAGGAACUAAAUUUAGGCUGGUUUUAGAGGUAGCCGGAAUUACCUCGUAAUAAAUUAUAUUUAGACUGGUUUCAGAAGUAGCCGGAAUUACUUCGUGACAAAUUAGCGCGCAAAUGUCUAUCUGUGUGUAUGUAUAUUUGUUUUGUGUAUGUGUUUGGAAGUAAGAUUUUACAGCACAAUACGCUGCUGAACUACUUCCAUUGUUUGUUUUUAUUGUUUUCUUUGUGUAUCCCGCAUAAGCUCAAGUACUGGUGAUAAAGGGGAAAGGUAGAAGGGCGUGUCAGCAACCACCCCUGAGUUUAGUACCAGAGAAAGCUUUGCAGUUCUGUGAUAAUGGGGAAUCAGCCCACAAAACUCACUGUUGACGAGCAGUGGUUAGAAAAGAAAUGUCCAGGCGCCGGACAAAUCAGUGCUUGUAGAUGAAGAAUUCUUAAGACAAUAAAAUGUCCCACUAUACAUUCACCCAUAUCAGGAGGAAAUAAUAAUCCCUCAUCAAGUGUAAAAUUAGAGAUCAAGGUAGAAGUUUAAAAAGAGUUGGAUACAGACCCAACUGAAUAUAUAUAUAAAUAAAAGAGGAAUGAAGUGGAAUAAACAAAAGGUUAAAUUAAGGUUAACUUAAAUUAAAUUAGAGCUUAUCUCUACUAUAUUCAAACUAAUAAUAGGAAGCAUAGCAACCUGUAAAUUGGUGUUACCAAAUGAUACAAAAUUGGGUAGACAACCAUACCCAGAAUGAAUAGAAUGAAUGAAACCAGAUAAUUCACACAAAAAUAUAUCAAAUAAGAAAGAGAAAUGCAUAACGUAUAUUAAGGCUGUGUCAUUGUUCAGCCAAAGAAAGAGUGUGAAAAUGCAAAUGUCUCCAGCUUGGGAAGGUGUGAAGCUGCAGAUUCACACAGACCUGUGAUGGAUACAUAAUACAAUAUAAACUAAUAUACUAUUGUAUAUUAGUAGUAAAGUAGUGUAUUGUAAUAUACUAUUGCUGUUAUAAAAAAGGAAGACCAAAACAAUAAUAACAUUAAUAAUGACAUAAUAUUAAAUAAUAAGAGACACCUCAGUCAGUUAUGAUGUGAGGUGGAUAAUUGUUAAAAGUAGUCUGAUUCAAGCUUAAGGUUUGCUCAAACUCAGUACAAUGAUAUAUGCGAUGAAAAAAUAAGGAGAAUACCAAAUCUAAUCAAGUGCAUAGAGACACCUGACCUGUCUGUAAACCUGUUAGCCUAGAUGAGACUUUCUUGAGAUGAAAAACAAACCUAUACUAACAAAUAAUAAGUCAAGCCCUGAAUACAACAGCUAAAGCUACAGGUUUGUGACAACACAACAGUGCACUGGCUGCUGAUUCUAUUUUUAGACGGUGUGUGUGUGAGAAUGCAAAUGAAAAGCUGUGAGGAUGAUGAGAGGUUUCAGUUUUUUCUUUUCUUUUGACUUGCUCUUUCUGAUUAUGGAAGGCAUGUCCAAGAUACUCGUAUGAAAGCGUAUUUUGAGUGAUUUUAACUGUGUGAAUGCUGUCAGUAUUUGAUUUGAGUGACUCUGCGUGAUUUGUCUGAGUGACUGAAAAAGGGGGGAGUUUGAGAGAAAAGGCAGUGUGUGUGAGACGAUUUAUGGCGUCUGAAAGAGGUUAGAACAUUUAAAAGUGUGUAUGAAAUAAAGGAGUGUGAAAUAUAUUUCUUUUGUGAUGAAAAGUAGGAUGUUCUAAAGUUUGAAAGUGCUUUUAAUUCAAGAAAUGCAUGAGUGAUGGUAUGAGAGGUUGAGUUUCUUUUCUCUCAGUUCAAAAACACAUAAGCAUAUACCCUUGGUUAAUUGUUUGGAUGUGUGAAAGAGCUCGGUUUAAAUGUGUGUGAGUGAAAUGAGGGUGUAUUGUUUUUAAAUCAAGAUUUAGGAAAAUUACUGAUUGUUUAGGGAUGUCCACCACAUCACGACAAAGAGGUAAACACAAAAUGAGAACACACAUACACAAAUUGUUACAUGUGAGAUUAUUAUUGAAAUGAAUUAGAAGUGAGACAGUUUGAAUUUAGAACUCAGUGAUAAGAUGCAUGAAUUAAACCUUAUUGAAACAAAUACUUGCAAUGAAGAAAGCAGCUUACACUCAAUUAAUAUGAACACAAAGCCUUGGUGCCAUAGGCAAUUUGUUUUUGUUUUUGUUUGUUUGUUUUGUAAGUUUGGAAAACAAAUUUGUGAUCAUACUUGUGGAUCACAGUGACAUAUAAUGAUUAGGCACAUGAUUUAACAAUGACGAGUUUUAGAGCUGUGAGUUAUGAGCUGUAAGCAAUGCAAAGUUUUUUCCUUAACUUAAAAGUUUGAAAUAUGUAAGAUGUGUGAGUUCUUUUAAAAAAAAAAAAAAAAAAAAAAGGAAUGACCUAAAUGCCUUAAGUCAAAAUGAAGUCUUGCACCUACAUAGAAAAGAAAUCAGAAGAAGCAUUCAGUAACUUGCAUUCCUUCCUGUAAAUUAGACUCUGUUGUUUGUAGGCCUGUGCAGCUGCAGCAGAGGCAGUAAAAAAGUCAGCUGACGUUGUUUUAGGGCACACUCUGAUCAUCUAAGUACCUCACGCAGUGACUUCAAUUUAAAAAAAAAAAAAUAAAAAAAAAAUAAUAAGCAACUUUGUCUUAUCUCACACAUGUGAGACAACUCUCAAAUGCUGGACACUUAUUGUUGCUAUAUGGAAAGUUAGGAAGAGAGUUCGAUUAGUCUCCAAAAACUAACUAAUGCAAAAACAGGAAAUCGUGUGAACCCACAACCUUUGAAUUAGAACAGGUUGUUUUGAACAAUAAACUGCCGUAAGGCUCUCCAGUCUCUUGCAGGUUGAAACCAAGUGUUAUUGACAACACCCACAGCCUGUAAAAUUGCAGAGAGACCAUCUUGGAUACAUCAGAGCCAUUGCAAAAAGGUUGAGGUCCCGGGAAGCCCCAUCACUAAGGAGGAAGCACAUUAGGAAGGCCUCACCUACGUUUGGUUGCUUCGGGGGUGAGGGGGGGUAGUGCGAUUGGGCCCCCGUUGGGUAAGCCUGCACUCCACCCUCUAUCCGAUCAACUUUAGGGCAGCCAGGUGCAGGUGUGAUGGACCUAUGUGCAACAAUGUGAAGGGGAAGCCUCCUGGUUACCUUGACUACAAAGCUCACCCUUACAGGAUCCCAGCUGAUGCCAACAGUAGCCGAGCCACAAGGCAGACAGAGAAGAUGGACGUACGACAACUUACACCUAAUGGACAUGACACAAGAUCACAUCCAUCCUUGGAUGGAAAGUGACUGAUACAAAUAAGUGUUUAACAAAACUACAGAGAAAGACUGUUAUGUUUGCUCGCACAUGCCGAGCAUAUUAACACAGCCAUGUAUGAGAAACACCCUGGAACAAGUGCACCAAAUCUGAUCUAAUGACUUUUGUAAGGUGCACAACAUCAUCAACAUCCUGAUCCAGGAAGAAGCCCUGAACUUUAACAAGUUUAAAGAGACUGUUGAUCGUCAUUGAAUUUUUCUUGAUUUUAUUUUGCCUUUCUUUACUUAUGAUAUUCUUUGUUUAAAGCUGUAAUUUCACAGAUGAUUAGUUUGUCAUUCACAGCAUACGCAGAUGUACCAAAACCGAUGAAGACUUCUUUUCCUAUUUUUCAGAUGAAGAUGAAGUGUAACUAAUGAUGUAGUAACUGAGAAUGUGAAAGACAAGUAGUUACUCACUGAUGAAUUGUACAUUUCACUUCGUGAUCAACAGGAGGGAAUGUCAGAAGAGAAUAUUGUAUAAUAUGAUCAGCUAUAUGAAAUGUAUCUUUUUAUCUUACUGUUGGGGACAUGUCUGGGUGACUUUUCACCCAGUAACUUGUGUGCAGCUACUAACCGCUUCCUGUCUUCAGAGAACAGAGAAGUGAAGACUCAGCUCUAUUAGAAGAACAUGCAAAUGUAGUGAAGGGAAAAAACCCGCGGCUCCAAAUGACGUUGUUACCUUUGUACACACACAUACACACACACACACACACACACUCACACAGAAAAGUAUAAAUAAAGGACGGGGACAGUCGUGGGGCGCAGAUCCUGUGUACAUGACUGCCCCUCGCGAGGAAAAACUUCUGCAGUGUUUGUGUGUUUUCUGAACUCAGACGUCUCAACUGAAGAACGGCAGGGUGAUUUAAAGAAAUCCCCUGUCAAAGACCAAUACAAAGUGGUGUACAUGUGAGAAGUGGAACAAAAAUCAUACAUGAUUCCAAACAUUUUUUACAAAUAAAUAACUGAAAAGUGGGGUGUGCGUAAUUAUUCAGCCCCCUGAGUCAAUACUUUGUAGAACCACCUUUUGCUGCAAUUCCAGCUGCCAGUCUUUUAGGGUAUGUCUCUACCAGCUUUGCAAAUCUAGAGACUGAAAUCCUUGCCCAUUCUUCUUUGCAACCUGACAACUUUUUU